rnacentral:rRNA from 1 species
AGAGUUUGAUUCUGGCUCAGAUUGAACGCUGGCGGCAGGCCUAAUACAUGCAAGUCGAACGGUAACAUAGGAAAAGCUUGCUUUCCUGAUGACGAGUGGCGGACGGGUGAGUAAAGUUUGGGAAGCUACCUGAUAGAGGGGGACAACAGUUGGAAACGACUGCUAAUACCGCAUACAGCCUGAGGGUGAAAGCAGCAAUGCGCUAUCAGAUGCGCCCAAAUGGGAUUAGCUAGUAGGUGAGGUAAAGGCUCACCUAGGCGACGAUCUCUAGCUGGUCUGAGAGGAUGAUCAGCCACAUUGGGACUGAGACACGGCCCAGACUCCUACGGGAGGCAGCAGUAGGGAAUAUUGCACAAUGGAGGAAACUCUGAUGCCAGCCAUGCCGCGUGUGUGAAGAAGGCCUUCGGGUUGUAAAGCACUUUCGGAGGGGAGGAGAAUGACGUUACCCUCAGAAGAAGCACCGGCUAACUCCGUGCCAGCCGCAGC